UACGUAGGGUGCAAGCGUUAAUCGGAAUUACUGGGCGUAAAGCGUGCGCAGGCGGCUAUGCAAGACAGAUGUGAAAUCCCCGGGCUCAACCUGGGAACUGCAUUUGUGACUGCAUAGCUAGAGUACGGUAGAGGGGGAUGGAAUUCCGCGUGUAGCAGUGAAAUGCGUAGAGAUGCGGAGGAACACCCGAUGGCGAAGGCAGCCCCCUGGGUCGACACUGACGCUCAGGCACGAAAGCGUGGGGAGCAAACAGG
rnacentral:rRNA from 1 species